rnacentral:rRNA from 1 species
UUGACCUCAAAUCAGGUAGGACUACCCGCUGAACUUAAGCAUAUCAAUAAGCGGAGGAAAAGAAACUAACAAGGAUUCCCCUAGUAACUGCGAGUGAAGCGGGAAAAGCUCAAAUUUAAAAUCUGGUGGUCUU